rnacentral:rRNA from 1 species
AGAGUUUGAUCAUGGCUCAGAUUGAACGCUGGCGGCAUGCCUUACACAUGCAAGUCGAACGGCAGCACGGGAGCUUGCUCCUGGUGGCGAGUGGCGAACGGGUGAGUAAAGCAUCGGAACGUACCUUGUCGAGGGGGAUAACGCAGCGAAAGUUGUGCUAAUACCGCAUACGUCCUGAGGGAGAAAGCGGGGGACCGCAAGGCCUCGCGCGAUGAGAGCGGCCGAUGUCAGAUUAGCUAGUUGGUGAGGUAAAGGCUCACCAAGGCGACGAUCUGUAGCGGGUCUGAGAGGAUGAUCCGCCACACUGGGACUGAGACACGGCCCAGACUCCUACGGGAGGCAGCAGUGGGGAAUUUUGGACAAUGGGGGAAACCCUGAUCCAGCCAUGCCGCGUGUGUGAAGAAGGCCUUCGGGUUGUAAAGCUCUUUCGGCCGGGAAAAAAUGGCACGGAUGAACAGUCUGUGUAGAUGAUGGUACCGGACUAAGAAGCACCGGCUAACUACGUGCCAGCAGCCGCGGUAAUACGUAGGGUGCGAGCGUUAAUCGGAAUUACUGGGCGUAAAGCGUGCGCAGGCGGUUUUGUAAGACAGGCGUGAAAUCCCCGGGCUCAACCUGGGAACUGCGCUUGUGACUGCAAGACUCGAGUACGGCAGAGGGG